AUUAAAGCUGGAAAGCUAGAUCAAGGAAUCAGAUGCAGAUCCAGAUUAGGAUACCUGGCAGGGUUUUUAUUUUAUCUUACAUUGUCGACGCAAAAAGUAUGGGCCUCAUUCUUUCGGAGGGGUUGAAGUCACCGCUUUCCCAUCCAAAAACUCCGAGUGCAGGAUUUCGGCGGAUCCAGCCAGUUCCGCUCUCCCUAGUUUCUGGCUCAGGCCACGAUGAUCAGUGACGAGACCACACAGUACGAGUUACUGAGGAGCUUCUUGGAAGGACGGCCGGUGUUUGAGAGCUGUAUAUGAAAACUAGAUUCCAGGAAGUAAAAGAAUUGUGUACCUUUCAGGAAACUUUAACCAAAAGGUGAGUAUGAACAGAACAGUGAAGAUUGCGUGCGUGCCAGGCGAGUCAUAACAUGGCCUUCCAUUCCAUAUCUCAUGCCAAAGUUCUUAAGUACUGACACACUUGCAACACAAGUUCUUUAUUUUUCCCUUCCAUCUGAUGCCCACGUUUCAUACUAGGAAGGAAAGCCAAAACAAAGAAGACACUCUUGACUUGCUAUCCCGAAGGAUGAAACUUGGCUGCCAACAGAAGGGCCUUGUCACUAUAAAUUUCUUCCACGCAGCUUGCCAGUCCCCGGUCGAUCUCACAAUUGAAGAAACACUCACGAAUUUGGAGGAUUGCGAGCAAGAGCUUUAAAAACAUGCCGGUGUUGCGUUUCCAUCGCUCUAGUUUUGCCAAAGUCUCGAAUUUUUAAUUUCGUGUGUAGCGUGUGGUGGUUUUAUCAAGUGGGCAACAACGACCACAAAGAAUUGAUCGAUUGCUCAAAGCUUUCUGGUGGGCAUGUGAUGAAGUGGUGGUUGCUGCAAAAUACCCCCAACAACUGAAAAGAUUGGACCACUGUUUGUUCCUCGACCACCGAAAUUCCGGGUAGAAAUCUUAUCCGUUGACUCUUUGAUGACCAUCG
rnacentral:lncRNA from 1 species